rnacentral:rRNA from 1 species
AGCGAACGCUGGCGGCAGGCUUAACACAUGCAAGUCGAACGGGCGUAGCAAUACGUCAGUGGCAGACGGGUGAGUAACACGUGGGAACGUACCUUUUGGUUCGGAACAACACAGGGAAACUUGUGCUAAUACCGAAUAAGCCCUUACGGGGAAAGAUUUAUCGCCGAAAGAUCGGCCCGCGUCUGAUUAGCUAGUUGGUGAGGUAAUGGCUCACCAAGGCGACGAUCAGUAGCUGGUCUGAGAGGAUGAUCAGCCACACUGGGACUGAGACACGGCCCAGACUCCUACGGGAGGCAGCAGUGGGGAAUAUUGGACAAUGGGCGCAAGCCUGAUCCAGCCAUGCCGCGUGAGUGAUGAAGGCCCUAGGGUUGUAAAGCUCUUUUGUGCGGGAAGAUAAUGACGGUACCGCAAGAAUAAGCCCCGGCUAACUUCGUG